UACGUAGGGUGCGAGCGUUGUCCGGAAUUAUUGGGCGUAAAGAGCUCGUAGGCGGUGUGUCACGUCGGCUGUGAAAACUCGGGGCUCAACCCCGAGCCUGCAGUCGAUACGGGCAGACUAGAGUGCUGUAGGGGAGACUGAAUUCCUGGUGUAGCGGUGAAAUGCGCAGAUAUCAGGAAGAACACCCGUGGCGAAGGCGGCUCUCUGGGACGGUACUGACGCUGAGACGCGAAAGCGUGGGGAGCGAACAGG
rnacentral:rRNA from 1 species